UAGGGAAUCUUCCGCAAUGGACGCAAGUCUGACGGAGCAACGCCGCGUGAGUGAAGAAGGAUUUCGGUUCGUAAAACUCUGUUGUUAGAGAAGAACAGCGCAUAGAGUAACUGUUAUGCGUGAGACGGUAUCUAACCAGAAAGCCACGGCUAACUACGUGCCAGCAGCCGCGGUAAUACGUAGGUGGCAAGCGUUGUCCGGAUUUAUUGGGCGUAAAGCGAGCGCAGGCGGUUAGAUAAGUCUGAAGUUAAAGGCAGUGGCUCAACCAUUGUAGGCUUUGGAAACUGUUUAACUUGAGUGCAGAAGGGGAGAGUGGAAUUCCAUGUGUAGCGGUGAAAUGCGUAGAUAUAUGGAGGAACACCGGUGGCGAAAGCGGCUCUCUGGUCUGUAACUGACGCUGAGGCUCGAAAGCGUGGGGAGCGAACAGG
rnacentral:rRNA from 1 species